rnacentral:lncRNA from 1 species
CCCAGGACACUGCUGAACCAUCGAUCGCAAUUGCCCAAAACCCAGGUGAGGAUCUCUGAAAGUGAAAUACCCAAGGCCAUUCACCUAGGAAGAAGCAAUGGCUUCUAAAACUGCAGACAUGGGAGAGACAGGCAAGCUGCAAAGGGAAGUCGACGAAAUAAAAUUAAAGCCCUACAAUCGUGUUCGUGUCAAUGUAGAUGGGGUGCCCCCCUCGGUUUGCUCACAGAGGUGGGUGUGAGAUCCUACAGGACGGUCUGGAAGACAUCCCAUGGAAGGCACUUUAUUUUGCCCAGAAGCUGGAGGAAAAGCAGAAGGAGACUUUUGGCCCCUGAAACUCAUUCCAAAAAUUAUACUGAAGAAGUGAGAUCUCUAGGUACAUUAGUUUGCCAAGUAUGCUGCUGGAUGUUCAUUCAGCACUAGUGUUUAACAAAAGCCCGGUUUUAAAAUCAGAGGAUAUGAGUUGGGGGGGCCUUGAGGGCGCUGAACACUGACUAAGAGGAGAGAGCGCACAUUACAUGGAGACCAUGGUCCCCAUACCAGAAACAUGAGAGUAGAGAGAAGCAAAGCCAGCAUCGUGGAGCCAGUCCCUUUAUCCAGGAUCUUGGAGGGAUACAGUCUUCUGUAGAAAUUAAAUAAAGACUGAAUUCUUCAAUGGGUAUUUUGAGAAGAGAGCCACUGUAAGCUUAUACACUGUGAAUUGCAAAAUGUUACUGCCUCUGGGUGGACAGGUUUUAAAAAGACUUUUUUUUUUCCUCCUGGCAUGGCUGACAGAGGGAAGGCUGGGUUUCAAUCCCAUCUUUCCCUUCCCUUGCCCAGUGCUUCUUUAUGUGCACAACCUGCACAACUAUAUGUGGUUUGCAAACACGCAUAAGCAAAGACUAACAGCUUCUGAAACAAACUCUGAAUAAAAGAGGGAGCAUAUUAAGGCAGAUGGCAGAGGAGGUGAGCAGCAUGGGCAGAUAGAAGCAUCACAGAGACUACAAGAAGAAUGUGCCAGACCGGCUCAUAGUGGCCACACUGAUUAAGAAUUACCAUCAGCUCUUUAGGAUUUGGAAACUUGGAAACACAUUGUGUGUUCUUCCUGGUUUGUUAUAGAGUAUGUGUAUGUACUUCUUUCUCUUAAAAAUAUUUAUUUUUAAAGAAUUGACUUAUAAAAUUAUAUGUAUUUGUCAUGUAUAACACAAUAUUUUGAAGUACAGUCCUGUGUCAUAAGGAUAUGUUCUGAGAAAUCCAUCAAUUUUGUCAUUGUAUAAACAUGAUAGAGUGUAUUUACACAAACCUAGGUGGUAUAAACUACUACACACCUAGGCUACAUAAUGUAGCCUAUUGCUCCUAGGCUAUAAACCUGUAUAACAUGCUACUGUACUAAAUACUAUAGACAAUAGUCACAUACUGGUGAGUAUUUGCGUAUCAAAACAUAUCUAAAUAUAGAAAAGAUGCAGUAAAAAUAUGGUAUUACAAUCUUAUGAGACCACUAUAGUAUAUGAGGUCCAUCAUUGAUUAAAACAUAGUUAUAUGGUGCAUGACUGUAUAUAUGCAUUGUGGAAUGGUUAAAUCUAGCUAACUAACAAAUGUGUUAUAUCACAUAGUUAUUAUUUUUGAGGUGAGAAUACAAUAUUCACUCUCUUAGCAUUUUUUAAGAAUACAGUAUAUUAACUAUAGUCACCAUGCUGAAUGGUAGAUCUCUGGAACUAAUUUCUCCUAUCUAAGUGUGAUUAUGUACCCUUUGACCAACAUCUUUCUAACCCCACCCCACAAACACCCCAUAAUAAAGCCUCUUGUAACCACCAUGUGCUGAUUGGUGCAUUUACAAUCCUUUAGCUAGACAGAAAAGUUCUUCAAGUCCCCACUUGACCCAGAAAGUCCAGCUGGCUUCACCUCUUAAAACUACUCCACCUGAGGAUACAUGACAAAUUGGAGAACUUCAACGCAGUGAAAUACAGAACUGAAAGUGCUGUAACAAUUAAGAGCUUUCUUGGCACCAGAAGCAGCCUUCCAUCAGCUUCAGUGCUCAGCCUGCAUUCCCCCGCCUUAACCUUUCUCCCACGGGAGAACACGGUUUUUAGAUCAAAAAGAAUUGUACUCAAGGAAUUGAAGCUAUGGAGCCUCUGCCACAUCUGGACCUGAUUUUGAUGACAAGAUCCUGUACCUCAAGCCCGAGACUAAUUUCAUAAUUUGAUGAAUCUUUUUGGAGAGUCAUGGGAGGAAUGUAAACAAUUUGUGGCCAAAGGAGAAUUAUGGUAGUUUGAAGAUGUGGAUACAAAUUAUUUGACAUUCUUCUCAUAGAAAGGUAACUCCAUAGCUGGGAGCCAAGUCUCGAAGCCCCAUGAGGGGAAGUGGAUACAUCUCAGAAUUGGGUUUCCUGAUACACACGACUGCAUCCUUCAUCUGCCAGGCCCUGGCAUUGUUUACUGGAGAAGAUGUCAUAGGAAAUUGGGCUAUGUCAUUGAGCCACUGGAGUCACAC